rnacentral:tRNA from 1 species
AAGAUACUAGUAAAACGCGACAUUACACUGCCUUGUCAAGACAGAAUUGCUGGUUAAACCCCUGCGUAUCUUA